AUACGAAAGGUGCAAGCGUUGUUCGGAUUUACUGGGCGUAAAGAGAUCGUAGGUGGUUUGUUAAGUUGGAUGUGAAAUCCCGGGCUCAACCUCGGAACUGCAUCCAAAACUGGCAGACUAGAGUUCGGGAGGGGUAAGCGGAAUUCCGUGUGUAGCAGUGAAAUGCGUAGAUAUACGGAGGAACACCUGAGGCGAAGGCGGCUUACUGGACCGAUACUGACACUGAGGAUCGAAAGCGUGGGUAGCAAACAGGAUUAGAAACCCUAGUAGUCC
rnacentral:rRNA from 1 species